AUGUGGGGACUUCAGGCUGUGACAUCUGCCACCCCAUUAACUCCCAGGGUUGAUUUGGCUGAUCUGGCUGGCUAAGAGGGUGUCCCCUUCCUCCCUCACCGCACCAUGUGUGUCCCUCCUGAAGCCAUGCAUUCAGGGAACAGGAUGACCUUCCCUGAGUGGAGGAGGACUUGGUCCCAUCCCCUACUCCAUGGAACCUCCAAACAAGCUCUCGAGGUCCACAUGUGAAGUGCCCAAACCUCCAGUCACCUGACAGUGACUGAGACAAACGGCCUCUUCUACACCACUCUGGCUCUGUCACCUGGC
rnacentral:snRNA from 1 species